rnacentral:rRNA from 1 species
UACGUAGGGUGCGAGCGUUAAUCGGAAUUACUGGGCGUAAAGCGUGCGCAGGCGGUUUGCUAAGACAGGUGUGAAAUCCCCGGGCUUAACCUGGGAACUGCGCUUGUUACUGGCAAGCUAGAGUGUGGCAGAGGGGGGUGGAAUUCCAGGUGUAGCAGUGAAAUGCGUAGAGAUCUGGAGGAACACCGAUGGCGAAGGCAGCCCCCUGGGCUAACACUGACGCUCAUGCACGAAAGCGUGGGGAGCAAACAGG